GGGAUGGGAUGGGAAUCGAACCCACGACCUUCCGCUUACCGGGCAGAUGCCAUGACCACUAGGCUACCCUGGAC